GGCACAUCCUGAUGCUGCGAUCGAUUAGUUUGGUCUGGACAGAUUCCAGCUACUUUUUUCUUUAAGGAACUGACUCAGUUGGUGAAUUGUCAACAGCACGAUUCAAGCGUUUGGUACGUGGAUUGACAACACCUUAAAGUGCCAAUUAUUUUCUAUUUUUUUCCUCAUUAAUAACUUGUUUUUGGAUUAAAAUGAAGCCUCCUACUUUCGAGGGUUCUUCUGAGGCAUCAUGGAUGUAUGAAACCUGACUCCACCGCAGGCAGAUGCAAGUCUCAGGCUGGAUUGAAUGGCACUGAGGAUACAAGAUU
rnacentral:lncRNA from 1 species